AAAAAAAUCACAAAGCAGGAAUCCUUCCAGUCAUCCAGAGAUGGAGUUUUGCUUAUUUGGAGCAGAAAAUUAUGACAAGAGCUGCCUCUAUCACUGCUGAUGGUGUUUCUUUAAAUGAGUCAUCUCCUCUCCCUGAAGUUUGGUCCUUUACUGCAUGAACUUCCUGCAGAUUGUUGGAUUGUGCCUUAUCCUUUUGGAAAUGGAGCUACAUCAGGAACUUUUACAGCCAGGCCUGACUUGCACGGUAGGCAAAGCACAGGCUGUGAGAGGAAAGUGGGCCUGCAUAUCCAACAGAUGUGAAGUGAUGCCAACUGGUUGUAUAACCUCUGUGACCUGACCAAG